UACGUAGGGGGCAAGCGUUGUUCGGAAUUAUUGGGCGUAAAGGGUGCGUAGGCGGUUUGGUAAGUCUGAUGUGAAAUCUAUGGGCUCAACUCAUAGUCUGCAUCGGAAACUGCCGGGCUUGAGUGUGGGAGAGGUGAGUGGAAUUCCUGGUGUAGCGGUGAAAUGCGUAGAUAUCAGGAGGAACACCUGUGGCGAAAGCGGCUCACUGGACGAUAACUGACGCUGAUGCACGAAAGCUAGGGGAGCAAACAGG
rnacentral:rRNA from 1 species